UUGAAUAUUGACGAUCAGGACACACGGUUAGAAACCUUGAGAUGUUAGCCUUCCAUUGGUGUUGGAGCUCGGUAGUAUUAAUCGGCGGUGGUUGCCGGAAUUGGGCAAGAAGUUCAGCCCGCUCGCCGGAACCUUGAAGGAAAUAGUAUUUGCUGCCGCACCUGUUUUCGGAGCAGAAUUUGGAGGGUUUGGAGUGAGAAUUUGGGAAUCAUUCUUUCACAAAACUCGUAGAGGACCUCGAAAACUAUAAGUAAGUGUUAAAUUGUAUCGAAUUAGAGUAUAUUUUAUAGCUGAUUAGAGGUCCGGAUCAGAUGACAGUAAAUCUGUAAACAGGGCAGUUUUGAAUAUUCUUCUUACGAAGCCGGUUUUGCUAUGUUGAGCUAAUAAUUUGGGUUGUGUGUCUUCUGAGAACUUGUAGUUUACAUUGUGAGGUUCAAUUUGGUAUAUUGUUUGGCCAAUUUGGAUAAAUUUACAAAUAAUUAUGAAUUUUACAAUAAACUGUACCAGAAAAGAGAAUUUAUCCGAAAUUCUGGCAGUUUUCUGUAGUCAUCUUUUGGGGCUGUUUUGAAUAUGUUGGGAUCAUAAUUUAUGAUUAGAGUCUUCAGUGAACAUGUAGAUGCAGUUGUUAGCUUUCAUUUGGCAUAUUGCUUUCCCAAUUUGGAUAAUCGUACCAAUUGUUAUGAUUUUUCUAAGGAAUUGUGGAAACAAAUGUUUUAAACAUUUGUUUCGAGAACUCGUCAAACAAACACGAGUUAACUCUGUACCAUGUGAAUUGAUGCCUGUAGCGGGUUGUAUUUGUUAAAUAGAACGCCAUAGAAAUUCUAUAUUAUGUUCGAUUGUCAGUUAUGGCAUAAGAUUCAAGUUAGGAUGUUUAUAUGGAAUAGAGUCGGAUAGUAAACCAUUAUGUUAGCAUUCGAUAACUUAUUUAAUUCUAAUAUUUGAUAGGUGUUGAGCAUAAUUACGCUCGUGCUCAAGGCUUGAGCGUGACUUGAGUGUAAAGACAUUCUUAUAGCACUUGCAUUGGACUUCAGGUGAGGAUCUCUAUUUCUUCACUAUUAUUUCUUGGAAAAACAAAAUGCACACUGAAAACAAGAUAUCCGUUAUUGCUUCUUGAUCACUUAAAUGUGAUAUAUCUUACUUUUGCCUAUCGUAUUAUAUUUUGAUUCUUGAAUUGUUGAAAAUAUUGAUUUAUUCAGAAUCGUAUCUUCUUCCUCGAACUAUUCAAAUAAGUUCUCAUCUUGAUUCGAGACUUAUUUCAAUAAUUUAUUAUCCCGAUUCUUUGACUACUCAAUCGAGCUAUUUUAUCGAUUCUUUAUCAAUUGUGAAUCGUUUCACAUAUUGACUUGUAUACUAGUUGGAACCACUUCUAUUCUACAAUGGUUCAAUAAACGUAAAUCGUUCUUUUCCCGACUCUUGGACCAUUUAGGAUUAUUCUGUUUAUCCAUUAAAUCAUUCGUUUCGUGCCUACUGUGAAUUGAUGGAUCGUUCAUAUUUUGACUUCUAUUGAUCUUUUGAAACCACUUGUCUUUCGAGCUAUACAACUAUGGAUUCUAUUUUAACCGUAGAUUAUUUUUGAUUGAGAUUCAUCUUCGUCAAUUGUUAUACGACCUUGAAUUGUGGUCACUCUUUUAUUCAAACCACUGAUCGUACCCUUCUUGACUUGUGAUUUUAUGACCAUAAGACAUUAUCACUUGUUAUUGGAAUCCCACAAUCGUUGAACUGUAAUAUUGGCUCUUUCCAAAGUGGAAUUCAUUAUGGGGAUUCAAAAUGUAAAUUGAGAUAGUCGGAAGCAUAUCCGUAUCUCUAUAUUAUUGAUUCCUUUGGGGACGCCCUAAGGAUAAUUGACCAGUUGGGCCCGGGGCUGUUCGAAAAAGACUGCUGGGCGGUAUUGGGCCGACGGUGGAUGGUCUCUUCGACAGUACCCAUAUUGGAUCUAGACCAUUGGCAUAGUUGGAGGUUAACUGUGUUGAUGGAUGGAUCGGCAUGCGCCCGGGCAUGCCUAUUGAUCGAUUAGCAGGGUAGCUCCAUGGUCUCAUAUUUGAUAUCCGAAAUUGUUAUCGUGGGAAUCUCCACGAAAUUCAUAAUUGAUAUCCGGGAAUUACCCAUUGAAUAUUGUUCUUUACCUGUACAUAUUGAUUAUAUUGUCGAUUCUGAUCAUAUUGAUGUGCCUUAUACUUUGGCCUCUUAUUCCUUAUCGAACGAUCAUUCUCUAGAUGGUCCAAUUCCAACUCCAAUUCCUUGAACGCUUAUAUUGUGAUUAUUAUUUGAUUCGACUAUUUUUCCCUCGUUCUCCUCACUAAGUCCACUCGGACUUACUCCUCCUUUAUUUUUCUUCUUAUUCUCAGUAACAGGUGCAUUAGUGGACGAUAUUGUUGAUGGCUCUUAGGAGUAGAAGUUAUUCAAAGAUUUUAGAGAGUUUAAUCUAGUGUUGUGUUUAAGAAUGAUUGUAAUUCGAGAACUAUGAAUACGAGAGUAGUUGUGGCAUUUGGUUGUCACGUGUAUUUGAUAUUAUUGUUGAGAAAUUAAGUAGGAGACAUUGUAUUUAUCGGAAGUCAUUGUAUUUAUUUAUUGUUAUGGAAAAAAAAAAAAGUACAGUGUAUUUCGGUAGUGGGCGUCACAGGUGGUAUCAGAGCUUGGGUUGGGUACCCGAGCGACGCCGGAUAUGGAUCCUUGGAAAUUGUAGAAACUUAGGCUUUAAAGGUGGGUUUAGGCUCUUGUAUAUUAGAGAGCUCUGAAUUUACGUUUGAAAUUGAGGUUAUUGACGGUAUAGCUGCCUAUAAUAGUAAGUCAACAUUCAGUAUUAGAGGUAUUGAGAAGGUAUUUUGGCGUCUAUUAUCGAAAUAGAUAGAGAGAAAUAUUCCAUAUUAAUGUCCUACCAUCAAUCCUAGGUCUCGACAUGUUAUUUGGACUCGGUUUAUCGUGUUUGUUCGAGGUUUAGAUGGAUUGCGCAAGCAUGAAAGUUAAUUCUAGCCGAAAGAGACCGGUCCAUUCAAGAAUGGCAAGUUGUUCGUGCCUCUAUUUUCAACGCAAAUAGUUACGAAAUCCACAAGAGUUCAGAAGAAAGACUAGUAAUUUCUGGUAUGUCUGCUCAAUAAAUCUAAGGACAAGAUCCGAAGACAAGAAAAAUCCAUCUUACGUGCUUUUCCACACGAAUUGAUCCCGAAUUCAUAAUAUUUGAGUUAGUUUAAUCGAGACUCUUAUCUAUUUUCCUAUAGAUAUUUGACGUUCUUGGUUCUUUUGGCCACAUCACAUUGCUAUUAUUGAUCACAAAUGAGGUUUCGUAACCCGUUUGAAUAAUUCUAUGAUUUGUCUUAUCCAUUUUCCGAGACUCUAUUUUAUUCUUCUACCAUCCACUUUUAUUUACCUACUUUAUGAGGUUCUUAUUUCAUUCGAAAUUGAUUCAACUCUUAUGAGAUUUCUAAUCUCGUUUCAAUUCGGAUAUACCUUUUGUCAGACUUCUCAUUCCUUUGAGUACUAUUUCACUUUAUUUGGCUUACCUUAAUCUCGUUUUCAUUUAUAAUCUAGGGUGAGCCAAAUGCUUGUGCCAAAUGCCUGAGAGUUUAUUUACUCGAUUCUUUUGAAUCCGUUCAUUUGCUCGAUUCUUUUAUCAUUUUAUUGAAUCCGAUUUCGUUUCAUUGCUCUAUGUGGCAUAUUAUGGCAUAAGAGAACCAUAUUCUCUUAGAUUAAACUCUUAUGAGAUUUCUAUUCUCAUUCGUGUCGAUUACACUCUUGUGAAAAUUCCUUAUCUCAUUUAAAUUUGGUUAUACCUUUUGUUAGAUUUCUCAUUUUGAGAGCUCUAUCACUCGACUCGACUCACCUGAAUCUUGUUUUCAUUCUUGCUCAAGGAUGAGCUGAAUUUUCCGAGAGUUUCUCUAUUCAAUUCUUUUAUCUUCCAUUGAAUAUUAUUUUUUUCUUCUUUGCUAUGUGGGGAAUCUUUUAUUCUGGUGCAAGUAACUCCACAUUUAUUCUCCCUCUCGCAUUGAUUCUGGAUAAGAUGAUGUACAGCUUAAACUUCAUUGUUGAUCGUAAUUGAUUCUUUUAUUCUAGUUUCAAUACUUUAUAGUCUUGGUUACCAACUUUUCUUGAGGUUUCCAAUUCUUGAAUAUAUCAUCUCAAUUAUUGAUCAUGAGUGAGAUUCCUCAUCUCACUUAAACAUAUUAUGAUUUUGAUUCCAUAUUAUUCAAGGUUUCCUAUUCCCUUGAACACCUUAUGAUUCGACUUUUCUACAUCACCUUGUAUUAUUCAAGUUCUAUUAUCGAUCAUGAUUGUUGAUAAUUCCGUGCAAGCAACAUAGUCAUUUGCAAACAAGUCCUCCUUGCAUCCGAAGUGAUCAUAUUAGGUAAAUUAGGAUUCGUUCCCCUCUUCGAGUUUGAUGAAGAGCAAUCAAUACCACUUGAUGUAGACCAGAACCGUUGACUGAGCCAGUAGCCUCCUCUUCACUCUUCUUUAGAUAUAGAUCUGAAAUCUUAUCUCUUGUUGGGUAUAAAGUGUUGACUCGCUGGUGACGGAAAACCAGAUGAGCGAGAGCAACCAAUCAUGGCUGAUAAAGGGCGUGUCGAUUGAAGAUUUUGCAAGAUGCUACUGAUAAAGUUCGGUUGAUCAAAUAAGGUGCAAAGACUUCACAAGAUCGUCAGAAGAGCUUAGGAACGUUCCACAAGUGUACAUGGUCUAAACUGAUAGGAUUAUCUUAUGUCUCACCACGAAAGGAUUCGAGCAAAACGGUUGAGAAGAAGCACAUUCUUUUGAAGAAAAUGACAUGGAUAAUUGGGGUGCUACUUAGAACCUUCGAUCGAUAUCGAGCUCGUAUCAAUCCCUCUUAUUUCUUGUCAGACCAUCUGUAGCACUCAUAGCUACAACCCUAACUCGAUUAUUUUUCCAAUAAUUGUUGUACCUUUCAAGUCACAUUAAUUGGCUGACUACCAAUAUCUCGACCUGUAUGUAUUAGACCGUUAUAUAUUAGACAUCUUGCUCGGCGGCAAGGCUACCUCUAGUACGAGACCAAUGAUUUGAAUGGUAUUGGUGAUAAUACCACGAAUAUUGAGAUUCCACAAUUGGUACUUUCUGAUACUGUUUCUUUCAUGAGCAGUUGUGGGAAUUCAUUACGAUAAGAGUUCACUCGUUAUCCAACUCAUUUCCAAAAUUGAGAACAUAUAGGCCAUCUUGCCAAUACUAUUUCUUUUCUUUCGUGAAGCUCAACCUUAUGGAAAAUUCGUAGUAAGUUCAAGGUACGUACUAAGCUAACACCAUCAAUCAAUCUUGAGUAUUCUUCCUCUAAACGACAUAGCGUGAAGAUAAAUUAUCAUAUGAAUAAAGACCGGUUCCUAAUUUCGGCCACUAACUUUCUAGAGAUUAACCGCAUAAAGGGUAUCCAAGUUGUGACGAAUUCCUCGAAGAAAAGAAGUAAAUGUAUAAUGGAGAAAUCACCAAGUUGAAGAAGCCACGAGUUAGCGAGAAGAUAAUUUGCGAAAUAUAAUUUCCCAUGUCCGAAUAUUAGUAUAGAAUCUGGGGACCAGAUUCCUUAAAGGAGGGGAGAUUGUAACACCCCAUAAUUUAUGCUUAUGGGUUUCCUUUAAGAGAUUAUUGUACUUAAUAAUGAGAUUUGGGGCUGAUGUGUUAUUAUAUGAUAAUUUUGGGGCAUAAGCAUAAUAAUUCUAUAAUUAUAAAACUUGGCAGCCAAGUUUAUGACUGGGGGAUAAGUAUAAUAAAUAUUUUUAUAAACUUGGCAAUCAAGUUUAUGACUUGGUAAUCCCCGAUAAAUACGUCUCUCGUCUUCUCUCUUUCUCUAUCCUCUCUCUUUCUCUCUCGCCUACUCUCUCCUUUUCUCUCUCGGUUCUUGGCUGAAUUCGAGAAAUUAAUUGAAUAAAAUUCGAAUCCAAGAAGGGGUUUGAAGAAGUGGGGUAUAUGAAACAAAUUUGAGGUUGGAAUUGGAAAUCCCCAAUUCGAAUUAUUGGCAGAAUUAGGGCUGCGUGAAGAAGGCUUUAUCAAGGGGCUAUUAUGAUCAGAUCGCCUCCGGUGGUGGUCGCAUCAGAUGAUUGGCGGUGGUGGCCGGAAUCCGACGAAGAAGACAAGCUGUCUUAGAAUCGGAUUUCAGCUUUUGGUCCUUCGAAGAAUUAAUUGCUCGGAGGCCUUAGACGUUGAAUAUUGACGAUCAGGACACACGGUUAGAAACCUUGAGAUGUUAGCCUUCCAUUGGUGUUGGAUCUCGGUAGUAUUAAUCGGCGGUGGUUGCCGGAAUUGGGCAAGAAGUUCAGCCCGCUCGCCGGAACCUUGAAGGAAAUAGUAUUUGCUGCCGCACCUGUUUUCGGAGCAGAAUUUGGAGGGUUUGGAGUGAGAAUUUGGGAAUCAUUCCUUCACAAAACUCGUAGAGGACCUCGAAAACUAUAAGUAAGUGUUAAAUUGUAUCGAAUUAGAGUAUAUUUUAUAGCUGAUUAGAGG
rnacentral:lncRNA from 1 species